CCAAAGUAAUUCCCUGGUGAAAAUUUAAAAUGAAAAUCGUCUCUCUAAUUUUUCCUCCAAAACCAAAUAAUCCCUUGGUCAAAAAUUCUGAAAAUCGUCUCUCUCGCGCUCUUAUAACCGCUGCCGCCGAACUAGUCUGUUAUGUCGGGAUCGGCGGUCAUUCUCGUAUGUUGCGGCGCUUGCUGGCUCUAAUUUCCAGCCAUUUUUACCUAUUGCCAGCCGCUAAGGUUUUUACAGAACUCAACUAGGGUUUCAGGUAAAAUUGCUAUUCUGCUUAUUCAUCUGGUCUUUUUUAUUGUUUUGUAUGUGAUUCUCCGGAUCUUUCUUCUCUCUUUGUGUUUGUGUUCUUAGGAUUUUCUUCCCAAUAAUUCUGGUUCAAGAUGUCAUGGUUUUAAUAUCCCAUUUUUCAAUUUUGUUUUCAGUUCUCAACAAUUCUUCUUUUGGUAGGGAAAGUUUAUAAUAGAUAUUCUAAAGGCAUGACAUGAGACACAGGCGGUGGGCAACAAUUAUGGUGAGGAAAUAUGAACAUUGGCAAGUGCGACGCUGUUAAAAGGGCAUAGCUAUUGAUUGUAACUUUUUUCUUUUAUAAUAUAUCUUGUUUGCUAUACAUUUGUCUAUUUUCUUCCUUACUAAUUCUUUCACCCAUAAUUCCUGCAACAGGAGAUCUUUUAAAUAACUCAAAUGGCGACCAACAAGUCACCAAAGCGAACUAUCAAGGAGUUCUAUCAUCGUAAAUUAGCAUCAAACGAUAGGCAAAAGUCCUUGAAGAAGAUUUGCAGAAAUAGGCAUUUUGGCUGCUCAGCUAGCUACCUACACCGCGAUUUGAAGGAUAUAUGGUGAAGGCAAUGAAGACAAUAUUGAGCAUAUUGGUUGAUGUACCACAUGUUGAAGGAACGAAUGAGUAACAAGUGUUAACUCAUUUGAAUCAUUGUUGUGAUAGAAUUUAUUUUGUAACGGAUAUGGUAUAAUUGAUUGGGUUGAACUUAAGUUGUAAUGAAUAUUGAAAUUUUAAGAAAUGAUUGUGUUGCAAUGAA